AGUAGUUGUGAAUCAGAGGUGUCAAGGUCCACUCCCAAGAUUCCAAAUAGCAGCUCUUAGUCUUGCAAGAAAAUUUAGCCAGGAGAAGGAUAAGUGAGAGGCCUACUGGAAGACAGAGGAAGUCGUUAUUCCUAGCAGAAGGUGAAAUUAGUGCUUGGGAUUCCCUCACUGUAAUGACUGACUGUUUUGUCGGCCAGGAUUGGAUUAACCUAAGGGUAUUCAGAGAUCUAUGUAUCUCACUGGGUCAUCUGCAUUUUACUGAGGAAUAGGAAGAUUAACUGCAGGCACCAGACUGGUCGUCCCACUUAACGUAACCCUGGAAAGUUCCUCUCGCAUUCCAGAAACUACUCAGUCUCCUGCCUCUGUGAAGUUUGCCUAUCUGUCUGGCAAAAGACAGUUCAGGUCGUGUUUUUCACAAGCAAUAGAAAAAGCCAGUUUCAACAAAGCUAGGAGUUUGUCCUAAGAAUCUGGAGUUACUUAAGAGAUAUUUCAACAACCUGUGUCUUCAGUAAGGCUCCCCGGAAACAGACGCCUAAACAGAGAGCUACAUGCCGGGUGCUGUGGUUUUUUGUUUUGUUUUGGUGGGGGGUGCUCUAAGAAACAACACCUGUAGGGGGAGUAAGGGAAACAGACUUGGGCAGAGGAAGAAGUUGAACUUUGAUGCCGUUGUAUUCAGCUAAGCCUACAGGGUGCUGGAUAUCAGUGUAAAAUUGUCUCCAGUAAAAGGAGCUGGGGGCCUUUUUAGGGAAGUAGAACAAAUGGACUGCUACACCUGGAAACCUAAGCCAGCAGCCUGGAAUUACAGACAUUGCACACAAGUUGGUGUCUGCUUUUCCAUCAACUUGUAAAUUACUGGAGAGGAGGACCUCAAGACAUUCUCCCUUGUUUUCUUCACAAUCAGGGAUGAUAUUGAAGAUAGUUAACACCCAGUACAGCACAGGCACCAACCAACUCAAAUGGACACUGUUCUUAGGCAAUUCGUAUGGCUAUACUAGUGGAUACAGCUGCAUAUUUGUUCUGCACACAGAAGGCAUCCAAUAAAUGAUCGUUGGAUUGAAUUUCAUUGGUUUGGUCAUCAUGGCCUUGCCACCUUUGUUCCAGAUAAAAGGAUCUGUAUGAGAGAAGCAGCUCUGGCACAUGCACACUUGCGGAUGCCGUUCAUCUGCUUUUCUCCUGGGACUACCAGGAAAUAAAUUAGCUAUCAGAUCAGAGCAAACCAAAAUUUAAAAGAUCAUAAAUGAAAAAUGAAUGUGUUGUUAUUUGACUUUUUUGUAUCGUUAUUCAUAGAUUUUCUUAAAGUAAUAAUCAGAGAACAUCAUCAACUAAAAUAUGUUUGUAACCCAAGUCAGUGACGAACUUGGUAAACACGGCAGAAUUACGCCCUCUCUUAAUUAGCCUUUGGGGAGACACCAAGUUUUGAACCGCUGCUUGUAGCUCUGGGAAUCUUCUAAGAAGCAGGAGUAGAUUAACCUCUAGAAGAGAAAUAUGCCAAAAACUGAUUUUCACAUAUGACUUGGUGAGUCUUAAACAGAAACAGGCUAACAUGCCAAAUAUGACCAGCUGAGAAGUAUCAACAUCAAAGGCAGAAAUCAUAAACUAUUUGACACAAACAUAUUAAAAAGUUUUACAUCAAGAAAUUAUAAAAAACAAAAUUUAAGACAGGUGACAAAUUUUAAAAUAUUGCUGCAUAU
ensembl:lncRNA